rnacentral:rRNA from 1 species
ACCCCUACGGGGGGCAGCAGUGGGGAAUAUUGGACAAUGGGGGCAACCCUGAUCCAGCGAUGCCGCGUGUGUGAAGAAGGCCUGAGGGUUGUAAAGCACUUUAGUGAGUGAGGAAGUGUGGGAGAUUAAGAGUCACCUACAUUGACGUUAACUCAAGAAUAAGCACCGGCUAACUCUGUGCCAGCAGCCGCGGUAA